UGUUAAUCUUGUGGUUUCACAGGAGUUCCUCUCUUCCACCAUUGUAAAGUAAGGCCCUUUCUAUUGACAUAUCCAGCCAUCUUAAAGGUCUGAGGAAAAGUUGAGGGGGCUUGAGAGACAGAAAUUCUAAACUGACACUUAUCUGUGUGUAAAGAAAGGAUUACUGAUUCCCAAAGAAUAUAUCUUCAGCAAUUCUAAAUUUGGACAAAGUGGGGGAAGUGCUUCCUUUCACAGAGAUAGCUUUAAGUGAAAGCACUUGUGAAAGGGCGGGGCCUGUUGAAAGAAUUCAGUUGAGGGUGAAUUUACAGAGUUUCAGCUGGUUGGGAAGACUGGAAGACCACCUGGGCUGUCACUGAGCUCUGGUGCCAGGAGGAAUGGACAAGAUCUUAGGAGCAUCAUUUUUAAUUCUGUGGCUUCAACUAUGCUGGGUGAGUGGCCAACAGAAGGAGGAAAGUGACCGGCAGCAGGUGAAACAAAGUCCUCAAUCUUUGAUAGUCCAGAAAGGAGGGAUUUCAAUUAUAAACUGUGCUUAUGAGAACAGUGCAUUUGACUACUUUCCAUGGUACCGACAAUUCCCUGGGAAAGGCCCUGCAUUAUUGAUAGCCAUAAGUUCAGCUGCGAGUGAAAAAGAAGAAGGAAGAUUCAAAAUCUUCUUCAAUAAAAGUGCCAAGAACUUCUCAUUGCAUAUCAUGGAUUCCCAGCCUGGAGACUCAGCCACCUACUUCUGCGCAGCAAGCACACAGUCCUCCCCAGGCACCUGAAGCCUGUACCCAAACCUGCAGUUGAGGCUCCAGCCAAACCCCUCAGUGGAAGCUUCCGUGGGCAGAGAUGUAGACUGGUUUUCAUCUGCAUAUGCAAGUGAUAAAUAACUGUAUAAACACUAGUGUGGCAGUAUGAGAAUGGUGAUUAAAUAAAAGAAACUAAGCUUAAUAAAUGACCAUCUCUAACAAACUUUUUAUUACAGUUAAAGUAUUUGCAAUUGUUACAAGCAUCCAACCAGUUGUGGGGCAGCUGGGAUUUUUAUGCCUUGCUGAUGGGAUGCAAAUCAGUAUUAUGACGCUGGAAAAUCAUUCGGCAGUUUCUUAUAAAUUGCUCUUAACAUAGCACCAGAAAUCCCACUCCUAAGUAUUUAUCUACAAUAAAUGAAAAUAUAUCUUCACACGAGGACUUUCGUUUACAGCAGUUUUAACCAUAAUAGCCCCAAGCUGGAAACAAUCCAAAUGUCCAUUAACUGGGGAAUAGAAAAAUAAAUUGUGGUAUAUUCCUAUAACGGAAUACUACAGAACAAUAACAUGCAAUAAGCUAGUGAUACGGAUAACACAUGAUGGAUCUCAGAAACUUUAUGCUUCAUUGAGUGAAUGGUUAAAUAUAUCUUGGUACAUAUCCACAUAAUGGAAUAUGAUUCAUCAAUACAAAGGCAUGAACUAUUGAUGCAUGCAACAACUUCGAUGAAUCUCAAGGGCAUUAUGUUGAGUGAACAAAAGUCAAUCUCAAAGGUGAUAUAACAUGUGAUUUCACUUAUAUA